rnacentral:rRNA from 1 species
UGUUGCCAGCACGUUAUGGUGGGGACGUCGUAAGAGACUGCCGGGGUCGAACUCGGAGGAAGGUGGGGACGACGUCAAGUCAUCAUGCCCCUUAUGUCCAGGGCUUCACACAUGCUACAAUGGCCAGUACAGAGGGCUGCGAGACCGUGAGGUGGAGCGAAUCCCUUAAAGCUGGUCUCAGUUCGGAUCGGGGUCUGCAACUCGACCCCGUGAAGUCGGAGUCGCUAGUAAUCGCAGAUCAGCAACGCUGCGGUGAAUACGUUCCCGGGCCUU